CUGCCCUGUUGAUUUGACAUAACAAAUCAGAGGACUCUUACCUAAGCAUUAGCAAAAUGUAAAAGAAUCUUUUUUAGAACUCGUAAUAACUCUUUGUAGGUUUUUGUGUGCAGAAGACUGCUAUAAAGAACUGUAAGCAUGAAUUGUGAAUUGUGAAUAUCUACUCCAGAGUCCUACUUAACUUAUGAUCCGAGCUUGAUGAUUUCCAGGAGUUUUUCAAUGUAGAUGAGGAGGAGAUCCUGGGUUCCGGCAGCUCUUUGAUCUCCAUCCUCUUGCUUCUAAGUGAUCACUUCCGGCAUCCAACACCAACAACACAAUUCUCAAAAAGACCUGCGUGUGCAAGUGAGAGUUCCCAAGGAAGUUCUAAAGGGUAUCUGGUCCUAAUAAAUGCUAAUAGUAAGUGCUCUGAAGGUACCUUAAUUAGAAAGUUGAAUUUCAGGGCAACUGGAUGGCUCAGUCAGUUAAGCAACAGAGUUUGGCUCACGUCAUGAUCUCAGGGUCUUGGGACUGAGUCCCACAUUGGACUCUCUGCUCAUCGGGAAGUCUGCUCCUUCCAUCAGCCGUUCCUCCCCCUUGCUCGUUCUCUUUCUCUCUCUCAAAUAAAU